rnacentral:rRNA from 1 species
CUCAGAUUGAACGCUGGCGGCAGGCCUAACACAUGCAAGUCGAGCGGAUGAAGGGAGCUUGCUCCCUGGAUUCAGCGGCGGACGGGUGAGUAAUGCCUAGGAAUCUGCCUGGUAGUGGGGGAUAACGUCCGGAAACGGGCGCUAAUACCGCAUACGUCCUGAGGGAGAAAGUGGGGGAUCUUCGGACCUCACGCUAUCAGAUGAGCCUAGGUCGGAUUAGCUAGUUGGUGGGGUAAAGGCCUACCAAGGCGACGAUCAGUAACUGGUCUGAGAGGAUGAUCAGUCACACUGGAACUGAGACACGGUCCAGACUCCUACGGGAGGCAGCAGUGGGGAAUAUUGGACAAUGGGCGAAAGCCUGAUCCAGCCAUGCCGCGUGUGUGAAGAAGGUCUUCGGAUUGUAAAGCACUUUAAGUUGGGAGGAAGGGCAGUAAGUUAAUACCUUGCUGUUUUGACGUUACCAACAGAAUAAGCACCGGCUAACUUCGUGCCAGCAGCCGCGGUAAUACGAAGGGUGCAAGCGUUAAUCGGAAUUACUGGGCGUAAAGCGCGCGUAGGUGGUUCAGCAAGUUGGAUGUGAAAUCCCCGGGCUCAACCUGGGAACUGCAUCCAAAACUACUGAGCUAGAGUACGGUAGAGGGUGGUGGAAUUUCCUGUGUAGCGGUGAAAUGCGUAGAUAUAGGAAGGAACACCAGUGGCGAAGGCGACCACCUGGACUGAUACUGACACUGAGGUGCGAAAGCGUGGGGAGCAAACAGGAUUAGAUACCCUGGUAGUCCACGCCGUAAACGAUGUCGACUAGCCGUUGGGAUCCUUGAGAUCUUAGUGGCGCAGCUAACGCGAUAAGUCGACCGCCUGGGGAGUACGGCCGCAAGGUAAAACUCAAAGGAAUUGACGGC